AGAGUUUGAUCAUGGCUCAGGAUGAACGCUAGCGGGAGGCCUAACACAUGCAAGCCGAGCGGUAUUGUUUCUUCGGAAAUGAGAGAGCGGCGUACGGGUGCGGAACACGUGUGUAACCUGCCUUUAUCUGGGGGAUAGCCUUUCGAAAGGAAGAUUAAUACUCCAUAAUAUAUUGAACGGCAUCGUUUAAUAUUGAAAGCUCCGGCGGAUAGAGAUGGGCACGCGCAAGAUUAGCUAGUUGGUGAGGUAACGGCUCACCAAGGCGAUGAUCUUUAGGGGCCUGAGAGGGUGAUCCCCCACACUGGUACUGAGACACGGACCAGACUCCUACGGGAGGCAGCAGUGAGGAAUAUUGGUCAAUGGGUGCAAGCCUGAACCAGCCAUCCCGCGUGAAGGACGACUGCCCUAUGGGUUGUAAACUUCUUUUGUAUAGGGAUAAACCUACCCUCGUGAGGGUAGCUGAAGGUACUAUACGAAUAAGCACCGGCUAACUCCGUG
rnacentral:rRNA from 1 species